UAAGGUUAAGUUAAUAAGGGCGCACGGUGGAUGCCUUGGCACUAGAAGCCGAUGAAGGACGUGACUAACGACGAAAUGCCUUGGGGAGCUGUAAGUAAGCAAUGAUCCAGGGGUGUCCGAAUGGGGGAACCCGGCAGGUAAUGCCUGUCACUCACUACUGUUAAGGUAGUGAAGAGGAAGACGCAGUGAACUGAAACAUCUAAGUAGCUGCAGGAAGAGAAAGCAAAAGCGAUUGCCUUAGUAGCGGCGAGCGAAACGGCAGGAGGGCAAACCGAGGAGUUUACUCCUCGGGGUUGUAGGACUGCAAUGUGGACUUAAAGAGUAUAGAAGAACUACCUGGGAAGGUAGGCCAAAGAGAGUAAUAGCCUCGUAUUUGAAAUAUUCUUUAUACCUAGCAGUAUCCUGAGUACGGCGAGACACGCGAAAUCUCGUCGGAAUCCGGGAGGACCAUCUCCCAACCCUAAAUACUCUCUAGUGACCGAUAGUGAACCAGUAC
rnacentral:rRNA from 1 species